GACGAACGCUGGCGGCGUGCCUAAUACAUGCAAGUCGAGCGAAUCGAUGGGAGCUUGCUCCCUGAGAUUAGCGGCGGACGGGUGAGUAACACGUGGGCAACCUGCCUAUAAGACUGGGAUAACUUCGGGAAACCGGAGCUAAUACCGGAUACGUUCUUUUCUCGCAUGAGAGAAGAUGGAAAGACGGUUUACGCUGUCACUUAUAGAUGGGCCCGCGGCGCAUUAGCUAGUUGGUGAGGUAAUGGCUCACCAAGGCGACGAUGCGUAGCCGACCUGAGAGGGUGAUCGGCCACACUGGGACUGAGACACGGCCCAGACUCCUACGGGAGGCAGCAGUAGGGAAUCUUCCGCAAUGGACGAAAGUCUGACGGAGCAACGCCGCGUGAACGAAGAAGGCCUUCGGGUCGUAAAGUUCUGUUGUUAGGGAAGAACAAGUACCAGAGUAACUGCUGGUACCUUGACGGUACCUAACCAGAAAGCCACGGCUAACUACGUGCCAGCAGCCGCGGUAAUACGUAGGUGGCAAGCGUUGUCCGGAAUUAUUGGGCGUAAAGCGCGCGCAGGUGGUUCCUUAAGUCUGAUGUGAAAGCCCACGGCUCAACCGUGGAGGGUCAUUGGAAACUGGGGAACUUGAGUGCAGAAGAGGAAAGUGGAAUUCCAAGUGUAGCGGUGAAAUGCGUAGAGAUUUGGAGGAACACCAGUGGCGAAGGCGACUUUCUGGUCUGUAACUGACACUGAGGCGCGAAAGCGCAGGGGCCAAACAGGAUUAGA
rnacentral:rRNA from 1 species